rnacentral:rRNA from 1 species
CAAGCCUGAUGCAGCCAUGCCGCGUGUAUGAAGAAGGCCUUCGGGUUGUAAAGUACUUUCAGCAGUGAGGAAGGUGGGUAUGUUAAUAGCAUAUUCAUUUGACGUUAGCUGCAGAAGAAGCACCGGCUAACUCCGUGCCAGCAGCCGCGGUAAUACGGAGGGUGCGAGCGUUAAUCGGAAUUACUGGGCGUAAAGCGCAUGCAGGUGGUUUGUUAAGUCAGAUGUGAAAGCCCGGGGCUCAACCUCGGAAUUGCAUUUGAAACUGGCAAACUAGAGUACUGUAGAGGGGGUAGAAUUUCAGGUGUAGCGGUGAAAUGCGUAGAGAUCUGAAGGAAUACCGGUGGCGAAGGCGGCCCCCUGGACAGAUACUGACACUCAGAUGCGAAAGCGUGGGGAGCAAACAGGAUUAGAUACCCUGGUAG